rnacentral:rRNA from 1 species
GAUGAACGCUAGCUACAGGCUUAACACAUGCAAGUCGAGGGGAAACGACAUCGAAAGCUUGCUUUUGAUGGGCGUCGACCGGCGCACGGGUGAGUAACGCGUAUCCAGCCUGCCCAUCACUUGGGAAUAACCUUGCGAAAGUAAGACUAAUACCCAAUGACAUCCCACGAAGACAUCUGAAUGGGAUUAAAGAUUUAUCGGUGAUGGAUGGGGAUGCGUCUGAUUAGCUUGUUGGCGGGGUAACGGCCCACCAAGGCAACGAUCAGUAGGGGUUCUGAGAGGAAGGUCCCCCACAUUGGAACUGAGACACGGUCCAAACUCCUACGGGAGGCAGCAGUGAGGAAUAUUGGUCAAUGGGCGAGAGCCUGAACCAGCCAAGUAGCGUGCAGGAUGACGGCCCUAUGGGUUGUAAACUGCUUUUAUAAGGGAAUAAAGUGGGUCUCGUGAGACUUUUUGCAUGUACCUUAUGAAUAAGGACCGGCUAAUUCCGUG